rnacentral:rRNA from 1 species
AGUCGAGGGGCAGCAUGAAUAUUGCGCUUGCCAAUAUUUGAUGGCGACCGGCGCACGGGCUGAGCUAACACGCUAUCCAACCUUCCGGUUACUCGGGGAUAGGCUUUCGAAAGAAAGAUUAAUACCCGAUGUUGUGUAUCUUUCUCCUGAAAGAUACGCCAAAGGAUUCCGGUAACCGAUGGGGAUGCGUUCCAUUAGGCAGUUGGCGGGGUAACGGCCCACCAAACCUUCGAUGGAUAGGGGUUCUGAGAGGAAGGUCCCCCACAUUGGAACUGAGACACGGUCCAAACUCAUACGGGAGGCAGCAGUGAGGAAUAUUGGUCAAUGGACGGAAGUCUGAACCAGCCAAGUAGCGUGAAGGAUGACUGCCCUCUGGGUUGUAAACUUCUUUUAUACGGGAAUAACAUGAGGUACGCGUACCUUAUUGCAUGUACCGUUAUGAAUAAGCAUCGGCUAACUCCGUGCCAGCAGCCGCGGUAAUACGGAGGAUGCGAGCGUUAUCCCGGAUUUAUUGGGUUUAAAGGGAGCGUAGGUGGGAUAUUAAGUCAGCUGUGAAAGUUUGGGGCUCAACCUUAAAAAUUGCAGUUGAUACUGGUUUCCUUGAGUACGGUACAGGUGGGCGGAAUUCGUGGUGUAGCGGUGAAAUGCUUAGAUAUCACGAAGAACUCCGAUCGCGAAGGCAGCUCACCGGGCCGGAACUGACACUGAUGCUCGAAAGUGCGGGUAUCAAACAGGAUUAGAUACCCUGGUAGUCCGCACAGUAAACGAUGAAUACUCGCUGUUUGCGAUACACAGUAAGCGGCCAAGCGAAAGCGUUAAGUAUUCCACCUGGGGAGUACGCCGGCAACGGUGAAACUCAAAGGAAUUGACGGGGGCCCCGCACAAGCGGGAGGAACAUGUGGUUUAAUUCGAUGAUACGCGAGGAACCUUACCCGGGCUUAAAUUGCGCUGGCUUUUACCGGAAACGGUAUUUUCUUCGGACCAGCGUGAAGGUGCUGCAUGGUUGUCGUCAACUCGUGCCGUGAGGUGUCGGCUUAAGUGCCAUAACGAGCGCAACCCUUAUCUUUAGUUACUAACAGUUUUGCUGAGGACUCUAAAGAGACUGCCGUCGUAAGAUGCGAGGAAGGUGGGGAUGACGUCAAAUCAGCACGGCCCUUACGUCCGGGGCUACACACGUGUUACAAUGGGGAGCACAGCAGGUUGCUACACGGCGACGUGAUGCCAAUCCGUAAAACUCCUCUCAGUUCGGAUCGAAGUCUGCAACCCGACUUCGUGAAGCUGGAUUCGCUAGUAAUCGCGCAUCAGCCACGGCGCGGUGAAUACGUUCCCGGGCCUUGUACACACCGCCCGUCAAGCCAUGAAAGCCGGGGGUACCUGAAGUACGUAACCGCGAGGA